GAUUAAUUUGUGAUUGAUUCGAAAAGCUUCAACUGUAACUCAUUUAGUAGGAUUUUGAUGUAAACCUAAAUUAACCCAAUAAGGUGUUACCUACAGCUAGAAAUUCUGCUUGUUGUAAUGAACUGAAAUCAUCAAAUUUACUGUAACACUGGAUGACGAGGAAAGCUGACCAUUUUUUUAUACCAAAAGGUAUCUCGUGCGAG
rnacentral:misc_RNA from 1 species